ensembl:lncRNA
CACAUUCAGAGUUUCUGUUGCUAAUUCCCUUUGGUCCUACUUGUCUGUAAAAUAAAGUAAAACUUACAAAGGACACAGGAAUAGGCAACACUUACUGUCUGUGUCAGUGUUCCUAAACCAAAAUAAGUUGCACAGGGAGCUGUUGGUAUUUCCUGGAAAUGAAGCAAGAAGAGGCAGCUCAAGGAUUUUGACUCCUGGCCCACCUGCUCUGGGUGCCCCGGCUUGGAACAGGCAGAGCCAGGGGUCCCUGCCACCUUCAACCAUUCUGUGAUUCUGGACUGUGCUAAGAGGAGGAGUCUUGUCCUUCUCACUAAGCAGUCAUUCCAUUCUAAUUCAGAAGGAACAGAAACCAAACAUGCUGUCUCUCUCUCUCUCUCUCUUUUUUUUUUUUUUUAAUUAACAAAUCAAAAUUAUUUAUACAUACAGGAAAAAAAAAAAAAAAAACACCAAACCACAGAGCUUUCUCUCAGGGCAUUUUCAGACAAGCCUACUAUAGUCUCUUCUCCUUGGUACCAACAGUGCACUGGUGAUUCCUACAGCAGUGAACACAAUACAUGAAAAUUCAUGAGCCUGAGCAUAUCUUUUUCCUUCCUGCUGACCAGGUUGGAAGUUCCAACCAGCACCAAUAUCAACAGCAUAAUAACAGUUCUGUCAGUACAGUUUAAAACUGUGCUAGGUCCUCACAGCUAUGCUUCUCCACAUUUAUUUUUGUUGUUGUUGUUGUUGUUUGUUUUGUUUUGUUUUGUUUUUGUUUAUAGCAACAGCAUUAUUUCUUUCAAUUCACCAAAGACAACAGUGGAUUUUGUUCCUGCACAGCACAGUCCCAGGUGGGCAGCCAUGUAAGUCUGGGACUCCAAACAGCUUCUGAAACUUCAAGCAUAUAUGAGAGUCAGAAAUAAAUACUUUGAUCAUUGAUCUUAGCGUUUUUCCAACAAGAAUUAAAACUUCUAAAGAAAUACAUAUGUCAAAGACUUGAAUGCAGGUUAGCCUCUGAAACUGUAUCUUCGUCUAGGAACAGAAAUCUCUAAGAGGGUACCCAUUCUUAUUUACUAUUCAUAGAUAGCUGUAUUUAUAGCUAUUUGUUAUUAUGCAGUUUCAGUUCUCACUGUUAAGCUGAUUGUCCAGAAUCUUCCCUGACUUCUUUUCACAAUCAAGAAAUUCAAACAUUGAGCAUACUCACAGGAUACCUUCGAAGUUUAAGCAUCUCAAAUCCUACUUUUUCAAUUUCAGGCUUCUCUUGUGUUAAAAACAAACAAACUUUUAUGUAGUUUUCAUGCAUUGUCUAUCAGAAACCUUAAAGAGAGAGCUUUAUUUACUUCAAAGUUACACCUCCAUCCACAUUAUCUGUGCUUCAGUCAUUGCUUUCCAUAGCAUAGUAACCACUGAGAGGAACUGAACAAACACAACAGGCAGCACUUAACCAAGUAUCCUUACUUUUCAGUCUUCAGAAUUCCUUGUAUUUUGACAAAAAAAAAAAAAAAAAAAAAAAAAGAGAGAGAGAGAGAGAGAGAGAGAGAGAGAUCUGAAAUAAUUCCAGCCCAUUUUCCCAGGUCAGGUAGCUCACUGUCUGGCCACAAAUUGCUCCAAAUCCCAAACACACUGAAUCUUAAUGUUAGCUGCUUUUGCAUGUGUAUUGUUUUUUUUUUUUUUUUUUCUUUAAUUAGUUUUAUACUUGAUCAUAGGUCUUGUCACAAUUUCAAAGAGUAUUUUACUAUGUACUUCGUCAAAUGUAGACUGGAUAGUAGUUUUUGCCUAAAUAAAGUUGCUAACUUCACUGUAUUCACUGUAAUUACUCCCCAGAAAGCUACUUAAUAUUUUUCUCUUUCCGCUGUUGCUGCUGGAUCACAUUAUCUUAUUUUUAUACACUCCCUGCAGUACCAUGAGAAUCUUCAUCAUUAAAAAAUAGGAGUAAGACCAGCUUCAUUUAACUUGACUAAAGUUAUCAUACAGGUGUGGGAGAGGCCAUGAGUGGGAAUAAUCUAAAAUAAUUUGACUUUCGAAAGAUUAAAAUCUUCAAAACUAUUUUAACAAUCGAUGCUUGACAUUGCAAAUCAUUCUUUUCCUUUUAAGUCUGGAGAUCUAAGCAAAUUUAAAUCUGAAUUAUGAUAUUGUUCAUUUUAUCGCACACAUAUUAUUCCAUAUGUUUUGUUAUGAUGCUGCAGGAGGAUAAAAUUACUGCCAACUUUUCAAAAUGGGCCCAGAGUCAAACACACACCAUCAAAAUUGUAGAGAAACGAGAAUUUGACUUGCAUCUCAUGGUAACUUCUCAUAGAAUCAUCCGAGGCUCAGUAUCUUUAGCAGUCAAACCACUUGUGUUUAUACAUGAAUAGUAAGAAAUCUAGUCAACAUUAGACUACUGAGAUGUAGUCAAUCUGUACUCUCCAGAAGGCCAGACUGAGGGUUUCCUGAGGUUUUAUGCUGGGAGAAAAGUAGCUAAGGAGCAGAAAAUGAAUCAGUGUCUUUUUCCUCCAUGAAGCGCAAAGUUAAUGUGAGAGUGAAUCUAUAUUUCUUUGUUCAGAAUUACUGUAAAUGCUCUCUUAUGGAGAAAUUGCUCAGUCUAAGGAUAAUUAUAGUUACACAGCCAUCGAGGUGAAUUAGUAUAGGGAAAUGAAAGAGGCUCACCUCAUCACUGAGGCAAGGAGCAACAGUGACUAUUCCAAAUGCUGGCAGUUCUGAAACAUCCUACCCUGGAUACUAGCAACAGUAUCUGCUCAGACAGUAGAUGUGUAUGCCAUGCUUGAAGCUAAUUAUUUCUGCAGGGUGACAGUCUGAG